rnacentral:rRNA from 1 species
UACGUAGGGGGCGAGCGUUGUCCGGAUUUAUUGGGCGUAAAGAGCGUGUAGGCGGCUUUACAGGUCCGUUGUGAAAACUCGAGGCUCAACCUCGAGACGCCGGUGGAAACCGUAAGGCUAGAGUCCGGAAGAGGAGAGUGGAAUUCCUGGUGUAGCGGUGAAAUGCGCAGAUAUCAGGAGGAAUACCCAUAGCGAAGGCAGCUCGCUGGGACGUUACUGACGCUGAGGCGCGAAAGCGUGGGGAGCAAACAGG